UGGUUCCCGGAGCGUGUGCGACGCGUGUGUAGGGGGCCGCGGGCGCGCGGACUGGAGCGGCGCGCCCCUCCCGCGUGUUGAAAUUCAAAAGAGGCGAACGCCCCCCGGCGCGGCGGCGCGGCUUCGGUGGAGAGGUUAAGGCAGGGGCCAGUCGGAGGCUCCCGGGGCGGGGUCGAACCCGCGGCCAACCUGAGCAGCAGCGGAAGCUUAAAGAGCUCAGGUUCCCGCCCCCCGGCCCUACCAUGGCUACAGAGCAGUGGUUCGAGGGGUCGCUCCCCCUGGACCCUGGAGAAACACCGCCUCCAGACGCCUUGGAACCUGGGACGCAGCCCUGCGGAGACCCCUCCUGGUCGACGCCCCCUGGCAGGCCUGGGAACCCACCUGAGCCGGAUCCUGAAGAUGCCGAGGGGCAGUUGGCUGAGGGCCCGGCCUCCACGCCUUCCCCCGAACCUCUGGUCUCCCGGCCCGGGCCAGCACCUCCCCGCCUAUCCCUGGACACUUUGUUCAGCCCCAUCACCCAACAGCUGCGCUACCUACUGAAGAAGGCGAAUGAUUUCCAGAGCUACUUGCUCUACAGCUGUUAGAGAUCUCCCAACAGCUGACCCUGCGCCUGGAACAGCUGGUCCUCAUGUACGCUUCCUUUGGGUUCG
rnacentral:sRNA from 1 species